UGGGGAAUAUUGCACAAUGGGGGAAACCCUGAUGCAGCGACGCCGCGUGGAGGAUGACGGCCUUCGGGUUGUAAACUCCUUUUGUCAGGGCCAAUGGUGAUGGUACCUGACGAACAAGCCCCGGCUAACCCUGUGCCAGCAGCCGCGGUAAGACAGAGGUGGCGAGCGUUGUUUGGAAUUAUGGGGCUUAAAGGGCGCGUAGGCGGUGGUGUAAGUCUGGGGUGGAAUGCUACAGCUCAACUGUAGAGCUGCCUUGGAAACUGCAUUACUUGAGUCGGUGAGAGGAAGGCGGAAUUCCUGGUGUAGCGGUGAAAUGCGUAGAUAUCAGGAGGAAGGUCUGUGGCGAAGGCGGCCUUCUGGCACUUGACUGACGCUGAGGCGCGAAAGCGUGGGAAGCAAACAG
rnacentral:rRNA from 1 species